rnacentral:rRNA from 1 species
GAUGAACGCUGACAGAAUGCUUAACACAUGCAAGUCAACUUGAACUUCGGUUUGGGUGGCGGACGGGUGAGUAACGCGUAAGGAACUUGCCUCACAGAUAGGGACAACAUUUGGAAACGAAUGCUAAUACCUGAUAUUAUGAUUUUAGGGCAUCCUAGGAUUAUGAAAGCUAUAUGCGCUGUGAGAGAGCUUUGCGUCCCAUUAGCUAGUUGGAGAGGUAACGGCUCACCAAGGCGAUGAUGGGUAGCCGGCCCGAGAGGGUGAUCGGCCACAAGGGGACUGAGACACGGCCCUUACUCCUACGGGAGGCAGCAGUGGGGAAUAUUGGACAAUGGACCAAGAGUCUGAUCCAGCAAUUCUGUGUGCACGAUGAAGUUUUUCGGAAUGUAAAGUGCUUUCAGUUGGGAAGAAAAAAAUGACGGUACCAACAGAAGAAGUGACGGCUAAAUACGUG